GGCUGGGUUGGAAUACAGCAAGUGAGCUGCUGAACUUCUACACUGGUGUCCACAACCAAUCUCUUGAUGUACUUUGUUGAAAUACUUUAUUUUUUGUAGAAUUUUUUUUUUUAUGUUUCAUUGGCACUGACCAAGCGUGCUCGACUGAUUGGGAUUUCCCCCCUUCAAUCAAAAAUGUUUCAAAAAUGGAACACUGACUGAUGUUCCGUUUUUGUGCUCCCGUUGAAAAUCUGAAAGCAGGUAAGCCACUGACUAACGCACAUUGCGCAAAUACCCAGUUCCACUGUGCGUGUGACAGCGGCUAACCAGCUUUUGGGGGUUCUUCAGAGCUCCUGACGUGGGAGCGCACAGUCCAGAGAGGGAAGGCCCCGAGUGAGACGUGCCGGAUCCACUGUACAGUAUCUGUGUCUGAGUAAAGUCAAUUCAUUUGGGGAGUCACAUCCCAGUUGCUAUUGGUCAUUGUCUGUUGGCCUACUUUGUUGAUUACAAUGUCGUGAACUGACUUAUGUGAACACUGAAUUAUGUUUAAAUAAUUUAAAAACAACUGUUAAUAGAACACAUGGGUUUAGAUGUAUGGAUUUAUUGUGCUACACAUUAAACAUACACUUAAAUAAA